rnacentral:rRNA from 1 species
CCAUGCCGCGUGUCUGAAGAAGGCCUUCGGGUUGUAAAGGACUUUUGUCAGGGAGCAAAACUUACUGGUUAAUACCUGGUGAGGUUGAGAGUACCUGAAGAAUAAGCACCGGCUAACUACGUGCCAGCAGCCGCGGUAAUACGUAAGGGUGCAAGCGUUAAUCGGAAUUACUGGGCGUAAAGCGUGCGCAGGCGGACUUUUAAGCCAGAUGUGAAAGCCCCGAGCUUAACUUGGGAAUUGCGUUUGGAACUGGGAGUCUAGAGUCUGUCAGAGGGGGAUGGAAUUCCACGUGUAGCAGUGAAAUGCGUAGAGAUGUGGAGGAACACCGAUGGCGAAGGCAGUCCCCUGGGAUAAGACUGACGCUCAUGCACGAAAGCGUGGGGAGCAAACAGGAUUAGAUACCCUGGUAGUCCACGCCCUAAACGAUGUCUACUAGUUGUUGGGGUAGCAAUACCUCAGUGACGCAGCUAACGCGUGAAGUAGACCGCCUGGGGAGUACGGUCGCAAGAUUAAAAACUCAAAGGAAUUGACGG